CUUGUUUCUUUAGUGUUUUAACAUUUGUGUAUUAUGUAAAAUGCAUAAAAACUGUUAAAUGUGCUUUGCUAAUGCAUUUCUCUGAAGUUGAAUAUAUUUUUAUUACUUUCAAUAUUUUCUGUAUUAGAUGUCAAGGCAACAGGAGCAGCCAGGGCAAGGAAUAGCAGCAGAUGCAGCUGAUGGACAAAGGCGGGAUUCCAGAUCUGCUGUAUUUCGUAUUCCAGAAUUCAAGUGGUCUCACAUGCAUCAGCGUUUGCUCACUGAUCUCUUGUUUUCCAUAGAAACAGACAUACAGAUGUGGAGAAGCCACUCGACAAAGACAGUUAUGGACUUCGUGAACAGCAGUGAUAAUGUCAUCUUUGUCCACAACACAAUUCAUCUCAUCUCUCAAGUGAUGGACAAUAUGGUCAUGGCUUGUGGGGGGAUCCUGCCGUUGCUUUCAGCUGCGACGUCGGCUACACAUGAACUGGAGACUAUUGAACCUUCUCAGGGUCUUUCAGUAGAAGCCUCUGUGACAUUUUUGCAGAGGUUAAUUAGCCUUGUGGAUGUGCUUAUAUUUGCAAGUUCUCUUGGUUUCACUGAAAUUGAAGCUGAAAAAAAUAUGUCAUCUGGAGGAAUUUUGCGACAGUGUCUCCGACUGGGUAAGCUGUUAACCAUUAGUUUUAAUCCUUAGGAAUUUAAUAUCUUCAGCAUACAUUAAAUUGAAAAUGGAUUUUCUUCUUUUUGGGGAAAGAUUGUGUGCAGGCAAAGUUGUCAUACAUGUACAUUUUAGUGUAUUGUGCAUAGUAGUAGCACGUUGGGGAAUGGGGAGCACAUAAUUUCAAAAGUCUGCUGAGGUGAUUCUGGCUGGCAGACAUUUUCCCUGUCCCUCAGUCCCUUUUGGUCUAAGGUAGUGCUUCUCAAUCAGUGUGACUCAUCUGAGGUCUUGUUCAAAUGUAUACUAGAUUAUAUAUGUCUGGGGUGAGACAUAAACUUGUCUCUGAGGCCCUUGUGAUGCUGGUUUCUCUUGUUUUACACAUGAGAACCAGAAUUCUAAAGUGCAUCAUUCAGAUACGGCCUUCGUUCAGACAAGUUCAGGUGUGUUGGAAAGCAGUUAAUAAAACAGUUCU
rnacentral:lncRNA from 1 species